rnacentral:rRNA from 1 species
UAACACUGGGGAACCUGCCCCAUAGUCUGGGAUACCACUUGGAAACAGGUGCUAAUACCGGAUAAGAAAGCGGAUCGCAUGAUCAGCUUUUAAAAGGCGGCGUAAGCUGUCGCUAUGGGAUGGCCCCGCGGUGCAUUAGCUAGUUGGUAAGGUAAAGGCUUACCAAGGCGAUGAUGCAUAGCCGAGUUGAGAGACUGAUCGGCCACAUUGGGACUGAGACACGGCCCAAACUCCUACGGGAGGCAGCAGGU